rnacentral:lncRNA from 1 species
GAAACGGAUCUGCUCCAUACAGCGCGUGGGAGAGGAGCUCUGCCCCGCGGAGAGUGGAUCACCAGGAUCCGCAUGUUACAAUGGGAUAUUCUGCACUUGCAUUGUCCAGCACUGGUCUUUAUUGAGCUGCUCAUCAUUUUCUAUAUACAGAGACGGAGUGAAAAAAAGACAUCAUUUCUGAAAAGCAAAAAUGUGCUUCUACAGGGUAUCCGACAGCCUGCCUUGCUUUUGUCCAAGGAAAGCACUAUCUCCCAGGCCUUUAGUGCACACCCUCUGGGAAAUCUAGAGUAGCAGGAAGCACUGUGUGCCACCCUGAGCAGAAGCAAGCCUGCCUGAUGAAUGCAGAUCUUUGUGAGCAAAGAGUUUUGAGCAAAGGGGCAAUGUUGUGCCUAUAGACCUGGCAUUGUCUGUUGGUUUCUCCUGUCUCAAUGAAUAAAAAAAUCUGAGGGGUUUACA